rnacentral:rRNA from 1 species
UACGUAGGGUGCGAGCGUUGUCCGGAUUUAUUGGGCGUAAAGGGCUCGUAGGCGGCCUGUCGCGUCGGGAGUGAAAGCCCACUGCUUAACGGUGGGUCUGCUUCGGUACGGGCGGGCUGGAGUAUGGCAGGGGAGACUGGAAUUCCUGGUGUAGCGGUGGAAUGCGCAGAUAUCAGGAGGAACACCGGUGGCGAAGGCGGGUCUCUGGGCCAUUACUGACGCUGAGGAGCGAAAGCGUGGGGAGCGAACAGG